rnacentral:rRNA from 1 species
CCUACGGGUGGCAGCAGUGAGGAAUAUUGGUCAAUGGCCGGAAGGCUGAACCAGCCAAGCCGCGUGAAGGACGAAGGUGCCAAGCAUUGUAAACUUCUUUUGUCAAGGGACAAAAUCAGGCUCGAGAGCCUGACCGAGGGUACUUGAAGAAAAAGCAUCGGCUAACUCCGUGCCAGCAGCCGCGGUAAUACGGAGGAUGCGAGCGUUAUCCGGAUUUAUUGGGUUUAAAGGGUGCGUAGGCGGGCUGUUAAGUCAGCGGUAAAAGCCCGGGGCUCAACCCCGGCCCGCCGUUGAAACUGGCAGUCUCGAGUUGGAGAGAAGUAUGCGGAAUGCGCGGUGUAGCGGUGAAAUGCAUAGAUAUCGCGCAGAACUCCGAUUGCGAAGGCAGCAUGCCGGCUCCACACUGACGCUGAGGCACGAAAGCGUGGGUAUCGAACAGGAUUAGAUACCCCUGUAGUC